rnacentral:rRNA from 1 species
AUAUAGAAGAGCUUGCUUUCUAGAGACCGGCGGAUGGGUGAGUAACGCGUAUGCAACCUACCUUUUACAGGGGAAUAGCCCGGAGAAAUUCGGAUUAAUGCUCCAUGGUUUAUAUGAAUGGCAUCGUUUGUAUAAUAAAGAUUUAUCGGUAAAAGAUGGGCAUGCGUAUCAUUAGCUAGUUGGUGUGGUAACGGCAUACCAAGGCUACGAUGAUUAGGGGUCCUGAGAGGGAGAUCCCCCACACUGGUACUGAGACACGGACCAGACUCCUACGGGAGGCAGCAGUGAGGAAUAUUGGUCAAUGGAGGCAACUCUGAACCAGCCAUGCCGCGUGCAGGAUGACGGUCCUAUGGAUUGUAAACUGCUUUUGUACGGGAAGAGAUGUAUCUACUUUUUUUAUCUGACGGUACCGUAAGAUAAGGAGGGGGGGCUCCGCCCCCCCCCG